rnacentral:rRNA from 2 species
UACGGAGGGUGCAAGCGUUAGUCGGAAUUACUGGGCGUAAAGGGCGCGUAGGCGGAAAUAUAAGUCAGACGUGAAAUUCCGGGGCUUAACCUCGGAGCUGCAUCUGAAACUAUAUUUCUAGAGGAAGGGCGGAGAAAACGGAAUUCCACAUGUAGCGGUGAAAUGCGUAGAUAUGUGGAGGAACACCUGUGGCGAAAGCGGUUUUCUAGCUUAUUCCUGACGCUGAUGCGCGAAAGCAAGGGGAGCAAACAGG